rnacentral:rRNA from 1 species
CCUACGGGAGGCUGCAGUGAGGAAUAUUGGUCAAUGGGCGUAAGCCUGAACCAGCCAAGUCGCGUGAGGGAUGAAGGUUCUAUGGAUCGUAAACCUCUUUUAUAAGGGAAUAAAGUGCGGGACGUGUCCCGUUUUGUAUGUACCUUAUGAAUAAGGAUCGGCUAACUCCGUGCCAGCAGCCGCGGUAAUACGGAGGAUCCGAGCGUUAUCCGGAUUUAUUGGGUUUAAAGGGUGCGUAGGCGGCCUUUUAAGUCAGCGGUGAAAGUCUGUGGCUCAACCAUGGAAUUGCCGUUGAAAGUGGGAGGUGUGAUUAUGUUUAAGGAAGGCGGAAUGGGUGGUGUAUGGGUGAAAUGCUUAGAUAUCACGCAGAACCCGGAUUGCGAAGGCAGCCUGACAAGCCAUGACUGACGCUGAUGCACGAAAGCGUGGGGAUCAAACAGGAUUAGAGACCCGUGUAGUC